CGUUCUGUAAGCCUGUGAAGGUGUGCUGUGAGGCAUGCUGGAGGUAUCAGAAGUGCGAAUGCUGACAUAAGUAACGAUAAAGCGGGUGAAAAGCCCGCUCGCCGGAAGACCAAGGGUUCCUGUCCAACGUUAAUCGGGGCAGGGUGAGUCGACCCCUAAGGCGAGGCCGAAAGGCGUAGUCGAUGGGAAACAGGUUAAUAUUCCUGUACUUGGUGUUACUGCGAAGGGGGGACGGAGAAGGCUAUGUUGGCCGGGCGACGGUUGUCCCGGUUUAAGCGUGUAGGCUGGUUUUCCAGGCAAAUCCGGAAAAUCAAGGCUGAGGCGU
rnacentral:rRNA from 1 species